CCGGGAGCCCCAACUUUUAGUCCUGUGUGUGCAUCCUCGGGGUCGCUCUGGGGCGCUGGGGCCCUGGGGGAGUCCCCGGGGCUCGUAGAACCGGGUCCCCUGGGCACUCGCUGGGAUCUUGGAAGCUCACACUUGUCUGGGGGGUCGGGGCUCCGCACACCAAGAUGAAGAACUCCGCUUUUGGGGUGGUGCUCACCCGCUGCCCAGACUUCCAGGGGGAGAAGCGAGCCGAGAUCCCGCUGAACAGCUUCGGCUUCUACGCCAAUGGCUCCCUGGAGGUGGACCUGAGCCUCCUGCGGCUGGGCCUCCGGGAGACAGAAGAGGAGACCCCGCUGGUGGGGUUCAGUCUGACUCGGGUUCAAUCUGGCAGCAUUCGAUCCUACUCAACCCCGAACCCCCCCAACUGUCCUCUCCGGAAAAACAGUAGCAACCUCCUGGUUCUCUUCCUCAUCAACACCAAGGAUCUGCGGGUCCAGGUGCGGAGGUAUGGGGACCAGAAGAAGCUGUUCAUCUCUCCUGGGCUCCUCCCCGAAGUGCCCUCUGAACCAGGGCCCCCGAAACCAGAGCUCACAGUCACCCCUAAAGUGGGCAGCGGGACCAUCGCUGUGCUCAGCAAGGCCCAGUCAAAACCCACAGUGUCCCAGGGAGACCAGCAGGGACCUCAGUGGGAAGGACAGCGAACUGGUCCUGGGGCUUGGGCAUCUCAACAAUUCCUACAACUUCAGUUUCCACGUGGUGAUCGGCUCUCGGGCCGAGGAAGGCCAGUACAGCCUCAACUUCCACAACUGCUACAACUCGGAGCCGGGCCGGGAGCAGCCGUUCGACCUCACGGUCAUGAUUCGGGAGAAGAACCCCGAGGGCUUCCUGUCGGCGGCGGAAAUCCCCCUGUUCAAGCUGUACCUGGUCAUGUCUGCCUGCUUCCUGGCAGCCGGCAUCUUCUGGGUGUCCGUCCUCUGCAGGAACACGUACAAGGUCUUCAAGAUCCACUGGCUCAUGGCGGCCCUCGCUUUCACCAAGAGCAUCUCCCUCCUUUUCCACAGUAUCAACUACUACUUCAUCAACAGCCAGGGCCACCCCAUCGAAGGCCUCGCUAUCAUGCACUACAUCACACACCUGCUGAAGGGUGCUCUCCUCUUCAUCACCAUCGCCUUGAUCGGCUCCGGCUGGGCCUUCGUCAAGUACGUCCUGUCAGACAAGGAGAAGAAGAUCUUUGGGAUCGUGAUUCCACUGCAGGUCCUGGCCAACGUGGCCUACAUUGUCAUCGAGUCCCGCGAGGAGGGCGCCAGUGAUUAUAGGCUCUGGAAGGAGAUCCUUUUCCUGGUGGAUCUCAUCUGCUGUGGCACCAUCCUCUUCCCUGUGGUCUGGUCCAUCCGGCAUCUCCAGGACGCAUCUGGCACCGAUGGAAAGGUGGCGGUGAACCUGGCCAAGCUGAAGCUGUUUCGGCAUUACUACAUCAUGGUCAUCUGUUACGUCUACUUCACGCGGAUCAUCGCCAUCCUGCUGCAGGUGGCUGUGCCCUUCCAGUGGCAGUGGCUAUACCAGCUCUUGGUAGAGGGCUCCACUCUGGCCUUCUUCGUGCUUACUGGCUACAAGUUCCAGCCUGCAGGCAACAACCCUUACCUACAGCUGCCCCAGGAGGAUGAGGAGGACAUGCAGAUGGAGCAGAUAAUGACCGAUUCUGGGUUCCGGGAAGGCCUGUCCAAGGUCAACAAAACAGCCAGCGGGCGGGAACUUUUGUGAUCCUCCCCUGUGUCUGGGACCGUCCUGCUUCCCCCACCUCCCGCCUCCGCCCUCUGCGUACACGUUCCUCACUCUAGCUCUGCUCCCAAAGCACACAUAUGUGUUGGGGUGGAGAGUGGGUGGGGGGGUGGCGGGGGAGGAAGGUGCCUGGGUGAGAGACUUGAGUUCCAGGAGCCCAUUUGGAAGAGAGCCCCUUCUUCCCCCAAGAUUUGGGCAGCCCUGUCCCUGCCCCUGAGCCACCUGCCACUUGCAGCUGUACAAUAAUGACCAAUCUGUUUUGCUACCCUGGUUUAUUUGCCUUUCUGUGUGUUGAGGCCUAACACAGAGGUUGUGUUUACAAUUUAGAAACCUAUAUUCAUUGUGGAGGGAGGGUUGUAGGAUCCGUUGCUUUACAUAUUCAGUAAAUAUCAGUUGAACAACUGCUCUGUA